rnacentral:misc_RNA from 2 species
GGUGAUUGGCGUGUAAGGGCAUGUCGGAUCCCUGCUUGGGCAGCGACGACGUGCCACGCUCGCCUUUUCAGUUGGUGGUCCAAGUGCUUGCUAGCCUUGGCCCUUCUAGGUUUCCUGCGUUGCAUACCUAUUGCGAGGGCAUUCAGUCGGCCAAAAAUGUCCCAUUUCGCCUUGUAUCGUGCCUCUUGGGCUACGGUGCGGGGUGUACCUCGAAGCACCCAUCGUGUUCCACUUCCCUUGCGUUAAACGCACGUUCGGGUUGUCGGCCCAUGAUGUCGUGCUCGAUCUCUCGGAUGCGGAAAAUCUAGUGGGCACGAGGCCCUCGGUCUCUAUUUGUCCCGAAAGUAAGCGUUCUACGCUUCGUGCGAACGACGACCGUCGCUGUUUAAAUCGAGUCCUAGUGGCUUGGCUCAUCCAGUGGCGGCGUCGAUGAGGAAUGCU